GGGGAGGUAGGCCCUCUUUAGGGACCUACCUCACCACUAACUCGCUAAAGAUUAACGAGUUAUGUGGAGGAAACUCAGAUUUCCUACCUAAAUCCAUGUAUCUGCAUGGAACCAUAACAGGUUACGAGCUAGUAGUUUGCCGCUUAGGCGGCGAUGUUAUGAUCACCCUCAUAACGAGGUUGGUCUGACAUUUUAGAAACUGCCAGACCUAUUAGAAACUGAAUCUUUACCGAUUCGGCUAGUAGGUCUUCUAAGAACCACAAUAGCUCUUCCUGAUGGUUAGUUUAACAUUUCGGUGUUAGCUAAACUACUCCUUACUCGAAGGAGGUCCACUUAGGGGGACAAAGUCAGGUCUCUCUAUUAGUCUUGCGACUAAUAAACCGGGACUCGUAUCUGAUAUAUCAACAUGAUGUAUCCAGACUACGGUUUUCACGCUCAGUGCCUUAGGCAUCGCACACGCCUCCCGACUAAAGGAGGGGGUUUAUGUUUUACACGUGUGUACGGGCAAAGCUACCCUUGUAGCCUAUCAACCUAUGUUGGUAGAUCAAUACCGUCUGACCGAAAUGAGGUUCUCCCAAAAGGUUUUCUCCUUUUAUGGUUUAUCCUCACCCCGGACGUUCAGGGCCUUUUCCAUCAGUUAGGAAAAGGAUUCCAUUCUUACGAAGGAUAGUACGGAAUUUUACCGCUCUACCCCUUUCUAAAAACCCAACGUUCGCCGGGGCUCAAAGAAACUGGAUCUGGAUAUGCUUGAUAAGGGCAUAUCCCCC
rnacentral:misc_RNA from 1 species